CGAACGCUGAAGCCUGGUGCUUGCACCGGGUGGAUGAGUGGCGAACGGGUGAGUAACACGUGAGUAACCUGCCCCUGACUUCGGGAUAAGCCCGGGAAACUGGGUCUAAUACCGGAUACGACUGCCGGACGCAUGUCUGGUGGUGGAAAGUUUUUUCGGUUGGGGAUGGGCUCGCGGCCUAUCAGUUUGUUGGUGAGGUAAUGGCUCACCAAGACGACGACGGGUAGCCGGCCUGAGAGGGCGACCGGCCACACUGGGACUGAGACACGGCCCAGACUCCUACGGGAGGCAGCAGUGGGGAAUAUUGCACAAUGGGGGAAACCCUGAUGCAGCGACGCAGCGUGCGGGAUGACGGCCUUCGGGUUGUAAACCGCUUUCAGCAGGGAAGAAGCGCAAGUGACGGUACCUGCAGAAGAAGUACCGGCUAACUACGUGCCAGCAGCCGCGGUAAUACGUAGGGUACGAGCGUUGUCCGGAAUUAUUGGGCGUAAAGAGCUCGUAGGUGGUUGGUCACGUCUGCUGUGGAAACGCAACGCUUAACGUUGCGCGUGCAGUGGGUACGGGCUGACUAGAGUGCAGUAGGGGAGUCUGGAAUUCCUGGUGUAGCGGUGAAAUGCGCAGAUAUCAGGAGGAACACCGGUGGCGAAGGCGGGACUCUGGGCUGUAACUGACACUGAGGAGCGAAAGCAUGGGGAGCGAACAGGAUUAGAUACCCUGGUAGUCCAUGCCGUAAACGUUGGGCACUAGGUGUGGGGGGCAUUCCACGUUCUCCGCGCCGUAGCUAACGCAUUAAGUGCCCCGCCUGGGGAGUACGGUCGCAAGGCUAAAACUCAAAGGAAUUGACGGGGGCCCGCACAAGCGGCGGAGCAUGCGGAUUAAUUCGAUGCAACGCGAAGAACCUUACCAAGGCUUGACAUACACCGGACCGUCCUGGAAACAGGUCCUCUUCUUUGAAGCUGGUGUACAGGUGGUGCAUGGUUGUCGUCAGCUCGUGUCGUGAGAUGUUGGGUUAAGUCCCGCAACGAGCGCAACCCUCGUUCUAUGUUGCCAGCAYGUGAUGGUGGGAACUCAUAGGAGACUGCCGGGGUCAACUCGGAGGAAGGUGGGGAUGACGUCAAAUCAUCAUGCCCUUUAUGUCUUGGGCUUCACGCAUGCUACAAUGGCUGGUACAGAGAGAGGCGAACCCGUGAGGGCAAGCGAAUCCCUUAAAGCCAGUCUCAGUUCGGAUCGUAGUCUGCAAUUCGACUACGUGAAGUCGGAGUCGCUAGUAAUCGCAGAUCAGCAACGCUGCGGUGAAUACGUUCCCGGGCCUUGUACACACCGCCCGUCAAGUCACGAAAGUCGGUAACACCCGAAGCCGGUGGACCUAACCGUAAGGAGG
rnacentral:rRNA from 1 species